GCACACUAUGACGCUUUUUCGCCCUAAAAAGGGAGGAUUUGAUUUCUAAAAUAAGGAAUUUCCCAAGACUGGACUUUCAAUCGAAACAAGAAGUCAUUAACACUGGGAGACCAACGCCAGAUUUGGUUCAAAGCACACCCCCCGUGACCCCGAGAAGGACAAGCGGUAGAAAAUGGAUGAGAUGGAAUGGACCUGAAACACCUGCCAAGAAGCCUGGAAAAACAUGAAAGCUCAUCUGCCCACAUUCAAGAGGGCGCGUAUACAAGGUGUCAGAAAAGGCCCCAGAGGUGUGGGGGUCAGCGGUGGUCCUGCCGGAGGUCCGCAGCAGCAGGAAGAGGAGGAGAAAGAUCUCUGC